GACGAACGCUGUUGGCGUGCCUAACACAUGCAAGUCGAGCGAAGUGAGUACUACGGUACGAACUUAGCGGCGGACGGGUGAGUAACGCGUGGACAAUCUACCCUGUAGACUGGGAUAACACCUCGAAAGGGGUGCUAAUACCGGAUAAUGUCGAGAAGCGGCAUCGCUUUUCGAAGAAAGGAGAGAAUCCGCUAUAGGAGGAGUCCGCGUCCCAUUAGCUAGUGGGUGAGGGUAACGGCCCACCAAGGCGACGAUGGGUAGCCGGCCUGAGAGGGUGAACGGCCACCUUGGAACGGAGACACGGUCCAGACUCCUACGGGAGGCAGCAGUGGGGAAUAUUGUGCAAUGGUGGAAACCCUGACCCAGCGACGCCGCGUGAGCGAAGAAGGCCUUCGGGUUGUAAAGCUCAAUAGUAUGGGAAGAUAAUGACGGUACCAUACGAAAGCCCCGGCUAACUACGUGCCAGCCGCCGCCGUAACAC
rnacentral:rRNA from 1 species